rnacentral:rRNA from 1 species
ACUCCUACGGGAGGCAGCAGUGGGGAAUAUUGGACAAUGGGCGAAAGCCUGAUCCAGCCAUGCCGCGUGUGUGAAGAAGGUCUUCGGAUUGUAAAGCACUUUAAGUUGGGAGGAAGGGCAGUAAGUUAAUACCUUGCUGUUUUGACGUACCAACAGA